rnacentral:rRNA from 1 species
CCUACGGGAGGCAGCAGUGGGGAAUAUUGCACAAUGGGCGAAAGCCUGAUGCAGCGACGCCGCGUGAGGGAUGACGGCCUUCGGGUUGUAAACCUCUUUCAGCAGGGAAGAAGCGCAAGUGACGGUACCUGCAGAAGAAGCACCGGCUAACUACGUGCCAGCAGCCGCGGUAAUACGUAGGGUGCGAGCGUUGUCCGGAAUUAUUGGGCGUAAAGAGCUCGUAGGCGGUCUGUCGCGUCGGAUGUGAAAGCCCGGGGCUUAACCCCGGGUCUGCAUUCGAUACGGGCAGACUAGAGUGUGGUAGGGGAGAUCGGAAUUCCUGGUGUAGCGGUGAAAUGCGCAGAUAUCAGGAGGAACACCGGUGGCGAAGGCGGAUCUCUGGGCCAUUACUGACGCUGAGGAGCGAAAGCGUGGGGAGCGAACAGGAUUAGAUACCCUGGUAGUACCACGCCGUAAACGUUGGGAACUAGGUGUUGGCGACAUUCCACGUCGUCGGUGCCGCAGCUAACGCAUUAAGUUCCCCGCCUGGGGAGUACGGCCGCAAGGCUAAAACGUCAAAUGAAUUGACGG